GCACUGGCUUUGGUAGUGCACAGACUAAAACUGGAAUGAUACAGAGAAGAUUAGCCUGGCCCCCAUGCAAGGAUGACAUGCAAAUUCGUGAAGUGUUCCAUAUUAAA
ensembl:snRNA U6 U6 spliceosomal RNA